AACGAACGCUGGCGGCAUGCCUAACACAUGCCAGUCGAACGAAACCUUCGGGUCUAUGGGCGCACGGGUGCGGAACGCGUGGGAAUCUGCCCGUGGGUUCGGUAUAACAGUUUGAAACGACUGCUAAUGCCGGAUGGGGACUUCGGUCCAAAGAGUUAUGGCCCAGGGAUGAGCGCGCGUCGGAUUAGCUGGUUGGGGAGGUAAGAGCGAACCAAGGCCACGAUCCGUAGCUGGUCGGAGAGGAUGACAAUCCACAAUGGGAAUGCGACACGGACCAGACUCCUACGGGAGGGAGCAGUGGGUAAUAUUGGACAAUGGGCGCAAGCCUGACAAAGCAAUGCCGCGUGAGUGAUGAAGGCCUUAGGGUUGUACAGCCGUUUUACCCGGGAUGAUAAUGACAGUACCGGGAGAAUAAGCACCGGCUAACUACGUG
rnacentral:rRNA from 1 species